UACGAAGGGGGCUAGCGUUGCUCGGAAUCACUGGGCGUAAAGGGUGCGUAGGCGGGUUUUUAAGUCAGGGGUGAAAUCCUGGAGCUCAACUCCAGAACUGCCUUUGAUACUGAGAAUCUUGAGUACGGGAGAGGUGAGUGGAACUGCGAGUGUAGAGGUGAAAUGCGUAGAUAUGGGGAAGAACACCGGUGGCGAAGGCGGCUCACUGGCCCGUAACUGACGCUCAGGCGCGAUAGCGUGGGGAUCAAACAGG
rnacentral:rRNA from 1 species